AAGCGGACUGCUUCUCGCCACAGUGGGUUCCGACGUACCAGCACCUGCACCAUGGCUCCUCUGAAGGUUCUGUUCGCCCUCGUGAUGGUCUUCCUGUUGGCUUUCGCAAACGGAAACCCUGAGGCCGAACCGGGAUACCGGAGCUAUGGCUACGGCCACGGCGGAGGAUACGGACACAGGAGCUACGGAUACGGACACGGCGGCGGAUACGGACACAGGAGCUACGGUUAUGGCCAUAGGGGUUAUGGCUAUGGAUACGGUUAUCACUAGCAGGUGACGAUUCUCCGGUGAUUUCUGAAGAAAACUUUUA